CUAAUACAUGCAAGUCGAGCGGACAGAAGGGAGCUUGCUCCCGGAUGUUAGCGGCGGACGGGUGAGUAACACGUGGGUAACCUGCCUGUAAGACUGGGAUAACUCCGGGAAACCGGAGCUAAUACCGGAUAGUUCCUUGAACCGCAUGGUUCAAGGAUGAAAGACGGUUUCGGCUGUCACUUACAGAUGGACCCGCGGCGCAUUAGCUAGUUGGUGGGGUAAUGGCUCACCAAGGCGACGAUGCGUAGCCGACCUGAGAGGGUGAUCGGCCACACUGGGACUGAGACACGGCCCAGACUCCUACGGGAGGCAGCAGUAGGGAAUCUUCCGCAAUGGACGAAAGUCUGACGGAGCAACGCCGCGUGAGUGAUGAAGGUUUUCGGAUCGUAAAGCUCUGUUGUUAGGGAAGAACAAGUGCGAGAGUAACUGCUCGCACCUUGACGGUACCUAACCAGAAAGCCACGGCUAACUACGUGCCAGCAGCCGCGGUAAUACGUAGGUGGCAAGCGUUGUCCGGAAUUAUUGGGCGUAAAGGGCUCGCAGGCGGUUUCUUAAGUCUGAUGUGAAAGCCCCCGGCUCAACCGGGGAGGGUCAUUGGAAACUGGGAAACUUGAGUGCAGAAGAGGAGAGUGGAAUUCCACGUGUAGCGGUGAAAUGCGUAGAGAUGUGGAGGAACACCAGUGGCGAAGGCGACUCUCUGGUCUGUAACUGACGCUGAGGAGCGAAAGCGUGGGGAGCGAACAGGAUUAG
rnacentral:rRNA from 1 species